rnacentral:rRNA from 1 species
UACGAAGGGGCUAGCGUUGCUCGGAAUCACUGGGCGUAAAGGGUGCGUAGGCGGGUCUUUUAAGUCAGGGGUGAAAUCCUGGAGCUCAACUCCAGAACUGCCUUUGAUACUGAGGAUCUUGAGUUCGGGAGAGGUGAGUGGAACUGCGAGUGUAGAGGUGAAAUUCGUAGAUAUUCGCAAGAACACCAGUGGCGAAGGCGGCUCACUGGCCCGAUACUGACGCUGAUGCACGAAAGCGUGGGGAGCAAACAGG